AGAAAGCACUGUCUAGCAGGAGGCAGCUCUGUUGCAGAGAGGUGACUGUUGUCUAACCUGUAGGUGUCUCAUUAGUUCAGGCCAGGGGAAAACAUUGUGAGGAAUCAGAACAGCCACCUUUCAAGCUCUCAAAUGUCAUGCAUUCCCAGAGCAGAAGAAAGCAGAACGAAGGUGCAAUCUCAUGACUACACUGAAAUUCAGCAUAUUGGAGGAAACAAAAGGAACAAAGAAUCAUCUUUGUCCAUGUUCUGUGAGUCUGAGUCAAUCUAAUUUUAAGUGUAUGCAAUUAUAGAUGGAAGUUAACUAACUGCUAUGAUAUAGUUUCAUUUCUAUCUAAAGAAAUAGCAACACCCUUAAGAUUUUGUUAAAGGCCUCUUACUCUUACCCCUGUGGCAUCAGGUCUUUCAGUGCACUAAGAUAUCCUCACAAGCAAACCGAGUUAUCUGAAGCAACACAUCACCUUCCUGAGGUAGAUAAUUUUCUUUCACUGAUAGAAAUACAGUCUCUCAUCUUAGGGAAUACUGUUUCGGAUAAAUGCUUAAGGGGUUUCUAGGCACAUUUGAAUACUUUUUUUCCCCCAAAGUAAACAAUGCAAUAAGGAGGCAUAGGAAUCACCUUUCUAAAAAGCGUUACACAUUAUCCCCAUAUAAGUCUUAAUUUUACCUUUGAAAAAUCUCUAUCAGAGUGAUAGCUAUUUAAAUAAACCAGAGGUUCUUAAUAACAUGAAUCAAGACUUAAAAUAAAGCCUGUCCUGAAACACCUGGGGUUUUUGAUAGUGUGGAUACCAUCCUUCCUGCCUGACCUUGUAAUUUUCUUAUGAUAACUGCUUCAAUUGUUCACAUGGGGAGGUAUUGAUACAGCAGGAUUAAGCUUUUCUUUUAGCUUCUUUCCAGCCAAUUUAGCAGCUGAGAGCAAGAAAGAAGACCAUGUACCACAUUAUUUCUAGAAGUGCAAUCAAGCCUGCAGCCCAACUGUACAGCUGCCUAUACACUUGAGUAGUUUUACUCUCAAGAACAUAUCUUGCUGAAUAGAGUCAUUGUAAUCCCAUGCGAUUGCGUGCUUGUAUAAAGGUAGGCAGGAAACAACUGUUCAGCUUGAUAUUGGAUCAAACCAAGCAGACAGAGCUCUUUCCUGACCACAACAAGCACAGGUCCUGCUUACAGCACUUGGCAGCGCCCAAGAGGCAGCGUCUGUUAAUUACUUUUUAUACUAAUGGAAGUACAGAACUGUUUCAGAGAAAUUUAGCUGCCUUCAUGAUUUCUCUGCUUAAUUGGCCAGGGUCUUCUCCAUACACAUAUAUUUAGAAUUGAAGGGUUUUCCUCCUGAAGUAACGUCUUAGAGCUCAAUCGAUAAUAAUUCAAUUAUAUUUCUGGAUAAAAUUGGGGACAUAGUGCAUAACAUAGUGCAACUAUCCCUCCCCUUUAAUAAAGGCUGUAAAAUCCUACCUGGGUC